AAUACGUACAAUACCAAAACCCAAUUUGGUAACGCCCAAAAUAGAUUUGGCAAUAAAAGAAAUAAAAUCAAAAAGCUAAAACAAAGCUGAAAAGGAAAUAUAAAAUGAGCUAAGAGUCCUCUAGAACAUGCCGACAUUCUUCAUCUUCUUCAUUGAUACAACAAUUACGGCUACUCUGAAGACUGGUUAGGUGUACGAAAGAACUACUGAGCUAAGAAAACCAAGUCAGAGGAACUCUAAAAUCAUAGUAUGGGCUCUCUCCUUUGUUGUGUGCAUCGAGCUAAGCAACUAUGGUUCAAAGACUUAGGGUGAGCUCCUGACGUUUGAAGUAUUACUAUUCUCCCUUUUAUGUACUAGACCAAUCUUUAUGUUACAUUUAGAGAUGGGUUGGAUCAAUAUAUUCAUGUAGUACUUUGUUUUGUAUUCUCAUUAUAUUAUAAGCUCUUGUACUGAUUCCACUAUGUUUUGGAACUAUCUUAUAUAUUUCAGUCUUAUAUUAUAUUUA